AUGAAAACGCUGAGCUAUUUGAAGCUGAAAAGAUGGAGAAAAUGAUUCAGAUUCACAGAGAAACCAAUCUCCUGCUUGCAAUUUUAUGCCUAGGCAAACUCAAUCAAAUAUAAAUGGAAAAUGAAGAAUAACAACAAGUUCAUACCUGUUGACUGCCAAAACCACAUCUUCAAGCCCUUGCUCAGAUGGUAACUAAUGCUUUUCAGUUUCCCUGUGAAAUAUGGAGACAUGUAAGCCAGAGAAUUUGACUUCAACUGAGGAAGAGAAAAUGGAAUUCUUAGACUGUUGGGUGAUUGAAAACUUGUUGCUCUUCAGGAUCAUAUCAUGACAUCUAAGCUACAUAGAAGGUAGGAGGAACAGAAACGAGGGAAAACACAAAGAACAACUAUCUCUCAGCUGGAGAAUGAUUUUUCUCUGUGACUUUGAGCAAACUUCUGUAUUUCCUUUUAUUCUUGGUAUUUAAAAUUGGAAUUAAACUCCUUUUGCAACUUA
rnacentral:lncRNA from 1 species